GAAGCCCUACACUGAUCUUGAAACUGUGCCACGCUAGUAGAGACCGGCUACAAGGAUGGGCAGCUGUUUUCGCAAAGUCAGCCAACCACUUGCUUCCAAAUGACCCUUAUCCAGAAGUAUCCGUGAGUGCCUCAUCAACAGAAACUAAAGUGGAGACCUACCUCUCAGAGAAAAACGCACACAUAAGAAAAGCCGACCCACUUCAGUACUGGGAAGAACAUCCUAAUCUGUUUCCCUCUAUGGCUGCUGUUGCGA